GGCGGCAGACGGGUGAGUAACACGUUGGCAAUCUAUCUUUCCGACCGGGAUAACUAGCCGAAAGGUUAGCUAAUACCAGAUGCGAUCACCGAGCGGCAUCGUUUGGUGAUGAAAGCAGUAAUGCGCGGAUUGAGGAGCCUGCGGCCCAUUAGCUAGUUGGUGAGGUAACGGCCCACCAAGGCAACGAUGGGUAGCUGGUCUGAGAGGACGACCAGCCACACUGGGACUGAGACACGGCCCAGACUCCUACGGGAGGCAGCAGUGAGGAAUUUUCCGCAAUGGGCGAAAGCCUGACGGAGCGACGCCGCGUGCACGAGGAAGGUCUUCGGAUCGUAAAGUGCUGUCGAGGGGGACGAUUAUGACGGUACCCCUGGAGGAAGCCCCGGCUAACUACGUGCCAGCAGCCGCGGUAAGACGUAGGGGGCGAGCGUUGUUCGGAAUUACUGGGCGUAAAGCGUGCGUAGGCGGAUUCGUAAGUCGAGGUUGAAAUAUCCGGGCUCAACUCGGGGCACGGCCUCGA
rnacentral:rRNA from 1 species